UACGUAGGGUGCGAGCGUUGUCCGGAAUUAUUGGGCGUAAAGAGCUCGUAGGCGGUGUGUCGCGUCGGCCGUGAAAACCUGGGGCUCAACUCUGGGCGUGCGGUCGAUACGGGGCAUCACUUGAGUUCGGCAGGGGAGACUGGAAUUCCUGGUGUAGCGGUGAAAUGCGUAGAGAUCCGGAAGAACACCAAAGGCGAAGGCACCAUCCUGGGGAGUCACUGACGCUCGGGUGCGAAAGCUAGGGGAGCGAACGGG
rnacentral:rRNA from 1 species